rnacentral:rRNA from 1 species
UACGAAGGGGGCUAGCGUUGCUCGGAAUCACUGGGCGUAAAGGGCGCGUAGGCGGCCAUUCAAGUCGGGGGUGAAAGCCUGUGGCUCAACCACAGAAUUGCCUUCGAUACUGUUUGGCUUGAGUUUGGUAGAGGUUGGUGGAACUGCGAGUGUAGAGGUGAAAUUCGUAGAUAUUCGCAAGAACACCAGUGGCGAAGGCGGCCAACUGGACCAACGCUGACGCUGAGGCGCGAAAGCGUGGGGAGCAAACAGG